UAGGGCCAUAUCACGUUGAAACACUGGUUCUCGCAAGAACCCCGAAGUUAAGCAACGUUAAGCCUGGUCAGCAACUACACGAGUGACCACUUGGGAAUACCAGGUGCGGCAAG